UUAGUUCUCCCUCCUUCAGGGAAAUGCUUUCCACAUAUCGUCCUCUGCUGUGAUUGGGCUCCACCUCCCUGGGCAGGCAGAUUAUUCUCCAUGACAGGAGAGACAUCUGCAGUACCCCCACUCAACCAGACGUGUCCAGCUUCAUCAGGUCCCGAAAGCACUGAGAUGUGGCUUUUCCCACUGCAUCUGUUUUGAUGCAGAACCUACACAUGGAAGAAAGAAUUUUCCAAUACUCAGUGUACCAGGAAGCUCUUUGAUCUUCUAUCUUGGAAGAUGAUGGAGUCUGAGUCUUAAGAAACACAUUUUUAUGAUGGCAAAGGUCUUUUAUGAGGAUAACAAUGAGUGUUAAGCUGAGGAGUGAUUUUAGGAUGUCAAUUCGGGGAUCUUCCUAACAUAGGGAUGCAACCUGUGUCUCUUGCGUCUCCUGCAUUGGCAGGUGGAUUCUUUACCACUGAGACAACUGGGAAGCCCCAAAGUUGGAAUACCACUGUCUUCAAGGAUAAUCAAGGAGCUGUUAACCAAAGAUGGGAAAUGGACCCUGGAAGGCAAAGCCAUGUCUCCUGCCGUCUCAGCAAGGACCUCGUUCUGUGUUGCGUCCCCGGAUGCUAGCCCCCGGCCAGGCGUAUGGCUUCUUAAGUGACUUCUGAGUGUGCUCCCUGUGUGGCCGUCACAGCAGCAGAACCCAGGUCAGUACUCCCAAGCACUGAGAGAAGACCCAUGGAAGAGACCUGGUGAGUGAUUGGAGUCUUGCCUUGUGGCUUGCUGAAGCUUCUUUGAAUUGUAAUCAAUCAUGCUUCCCAUAUGAGACUAUUAAAAGGUCAUUAGAAUUUUGACUACUAAGUCUGUGGAUGGAUUUUCUUCUCCUGCUGAAGCUGUGCCAGGUAUGA